GGACCAGGGAGCAGGUUAACGUUGACCUGUGGGACUCCUUGAUAGCUGUGUAUUUUGUUAGUUGACUGGUUAUUGUAACUCACAACCUGUGUUCACCAGAUCACAGGGAUGGACAUCACUUCUAUUAAGAAGACUUUGGGCAGUCAGUAUAGGGUGGCAUUCUUUCUUGGCCAGGGUUCAUAUGGCAGUGUGAAAUUGGCCUGGCACCGGAGAACACAGGCCCUGGUUGCCAUCAAAACGGUAGAGAUCAGCAAGAACACCAUCAGGGCAAUCCUGUCCGAAAUGACCACUUUGGAGUUACUGCACCAUCCAAAUAUAAUUUCCCUCUUCCAGAUCCUGGUUACAGCGAACCAGAUUCAUUUUAUUUUACAAUAUGCUCCAGGAGGCAACUUAGUACAACUAAUAAGUGAGGAGGGCCCAUUGCCAGAAGAAAAGGCUAAGAAAAUGUUCGGACAGAUCGUAUCUGCCAUAAGACAUUGUCAUAGUCUGGACAUUGUCCAUCGCGACAUCAAGCCACAGAAUAUACUGAUAGAUGGAGAGGGCAAUGUUAAGCUGAUCGACUUUGGCCUGGCAGUCAAAUGCAGACCUGGUACAUUACUGAGUAGGCACUGUGGAACCAGGGGCUUUAAUGCCCCUGAACUGGUAUUACGGCAGCCAUAUGAUGGCAAGAGUUCUGAUGUGUGGAGUUUGGGCGUACUCCUAUAUUUCAUCACCACUGGCUACUUUCCCUUCAGAGGAAACACCAUCGAUGAGAUUGAGCAAAAGAUUACAACGGGGACCUAUACCGUUCCACAUCACCUGUCUGGGCAACUCGAAAACCUGAUACAUCAAAUCUUCACGGUUUCACCAGAAAUGAGGCCCUCUAUAGAGGAAAUUGAAAAUCACCCAUGGAUCAAGAAAUCUUCCCUCCUGCAGAUAAUGGUGCAUUUGAGGCCAGGAUAGUCAUGGAUUCCUGAGUACAAGGACAGUGGCUCAUUGUUGCUAAGGAUCCCAACUCAAAUUACCAACACUGGACUGAAAACACAAACUAAGCAUUGUGACGUGUAAGGCUCUCAGGAGAAGCCAGAUCCCAGUGGCAUUAGUGUGACAAACAAGCUGUGCCCAAGGAGCUGACACUCUGGCAGAGUCCAGGACAUCCAGGAAGACAGAGGUGGUGAGAUAUCACCAACUAUGACUCUGACAUACAAUGAAGCAGUCGAGGGCCAUGAGGCUUUUCUGACUGAGGCAACACAGCCUGGAGCCCAAAUCCCGAGGCUGUGCACCAAAGUCCUUCCGUUUGUCACUGGUGAGCAGAGUCUGACCUGAAAGUCUGGACCUGAUCUCUCAGUGAAGGCAAAACCACUUGACCUCUGAUUUUGAACUGCAAUUGUAGCUAAUGCUGCUAUUGAUUUAAAAAUCUAGUUCAAUAUGUGAAAAAAUACACUCUUCAAUCUCCUGGAACAUUCUGUCUCAGAGAGGACCAUGUCUACACGUCAAAGGAAAAACCAGAUCCUGGUGCUUUCCCACAAGAAGUUGCUCAAUGUGGCUACCAGGCAGGCCAAACAAAAGCCUCUGUCUGCAGACAGGAGGGCACCAACAAUGUGUCAAGCAACCUCAUCUGCAUCGUCACAAGCAUCUGCAGUGUGGAUAUCUGGUCAACAUGGUCUUUUGACAGUUGUGGAGCCCCUCUCACCAAUAAAGCUUUUGUAGGUGAAGAACCUGAAGGAUCUGAGGCUGUGCCAGUACAUGCUGGAGAAAUACUUGACUGGACUCGGGAGUAGGAGCCUAGACAUUGGCCCACAGAAGUGCUGUUCUCCUUCUUUGGAUACCCGUCACAACAACACAAUCUUCUCUGUCUACUGGAGUUGUCUUGGUUGUAGAUUUGGAGAUCCUCAAUAUCCCAGCUUAGUUCUCUAAUGUUAAGUCAUAUCGACUCUUAGCAUAGUACUUUAUUUGCCACUGUUCUUUCUACCUUUAUUUUGCCAGAAUUUUCUAUGGGUAAGUUAUUCCAUCUAUAACACUUUAUGAUGUGUAAGCCCACACGAAGGUACCCAGAGCCCCUACACAAUGUGCUCUUAUUUACCUGUGAGAAGUCCAAGCCAGUAACCCCAAUCUUAACUCAGUGGUGAGAAGGAAUUUAAAACUUAGAACAGGACUUGUUUUCAUUCCUUUCUUGUUAGUAUCAUUCACAACUUCUGUAGAAGUUGGGAGUCCAGAAAGCAAAGGGCGGGAUUUUCUCACAUGAUCUUGACCCAUGUUGGGUUUUUUGUCUUCCAUCUCCACCUUUAACAUUUAAUAUACCACAUCUCUCCAAAGGUCAUGCCUAUUCUAGUGUGCUGCACUCAGUGAAGAAGUUGGAGGAAGUGUCAAAAGAGUGAAGGCCAAGCUCUGACUGUGACAGAGAGUUUGAGAUGGACAAAUGAUGCCUUGAAAAACACGUGACUUUUCGCUGUGACCUCCAUCUACUGUAAAUAACCAACAACCUGUUCAAGGAUCAAUGUGCCUCUGAGAUGAGGACAACAAGGCAUCACUAAGAAAUCUAUAUAGUCCUACCUCCCAGAAGAUGAGUGAAGGUGUUACAGUUAGGAUGACUGUUGACAUGAGGCUCUCAGAGGUUCACCACAAAUCGGAAGGACAAGAUUGAGAUUGCCAUUCUUACGGUCUUUCCAUAGUCUCCCCUUGCAAUUAGAAUUGACCAUCACUGGGGACCUCAUCUAUUAGAUGAAGCUUUUUGAUACUGAAGAGAUUGUUCUACCUGAUGAGCCCAGGCCUAGAAGAUGGACUACAUCCAAGAAGCCUGGCCCAUCUAAGGCCAAGUCACAUCUUUAAGAAAUAUUUGAAAGCAUUUGUGCACGGGAUAAAGGUGCAAGGACCAAAGUCUCCUUAGACAUUCCAGCCUACAGAGGGUCUGACAGACUCAGGUCAAAGGUUACGUCUGAAGCCUAGAUCAUGAAGAAGGCCCCACUCCACAGGAGAAGCCUGUGGCUGAUGCUGUUGCAACCAGGACUAUGAUUGUGAAACUUGUGUCUGUGGAUAGCAGAUUCACGAAUCUUGUGCCCAGGUAUCCACAGGCCUUUUUUCAUACAUUCCUUGGUAUAACUUUGCAAGUCCUGACUUUGGAAGUGUUGGGUCCUUCUGCUAUCUCACUUGACAUAUAGUCCAAGAAAGAUUUUUACCCCUUUAAGGGGCUGGAAAUAGACUGGACUCACAGUUACCAUUAAAACUGAAGUUCUGUCCUUUA